rnacentral:misc_RNA from 1 species
AACGCACAUUGCGCCCGCUAGUUUUCUAGCGGGCAUGCCUGUCCGAGCGUCAUUUCUACCCUCGAGCCCACUGUAGGCUUGGUGUUGGGGUGCCUGUGGCACAGCGCCUAUGGACCCUGAAAGUCAGCGGCGAGCCCGGCCGGGACGACCGAGCGCAGUAAUCUUUCUCGCUCCGGAAGCCCCUAUACCGGCGCUCUCGGCCGUUAAAACAGCCCAACUGGAACCUAAAUUUUGACCUCGGAUCAGGUAGGACCACCCGCUGAACUUAA